CCUCUAUAUUACAAAUUUUUCAUUGGGUGCAUAAUUUCUUUACGUACAAUAAAUUUUAAAACUGAAUUUAUGUAAAAAAAAAUUUUAUCUAUACUACAUACAUUAUAUAGCCAUGAACAUGGCUAAUUGUAACUUUUGGUUAUUAUGGUGGUGCAUGGAGAUGCAUGUUUGACGAAUGAAAUUUAUAAAAAUUAGCGACCGUGAUUG
rnacentral:lncRNA from 1 species